CCUACGGGAGGCAGCAGUGAGGAAUAUUGGUCAAUGGACGCAAGUCUGAACCAGCCAUGCCGCGUGCAGGAAGACGGCUCUAUGAGUUGUAAACUGCUUUUGUACGAGGGUAAACGCAGAUACGCGUAUCUGUCUGAAAGUAUCGUACGAAUAAGGAUCGGCUAACUCCGUGCCAGCAGCCGCGGGAAUACGGAGGAUUCAAGCGUUAUCCGGAUUUAGUGGGUUUAAAGGGUGCGUAGGCGGUCGGAUAAGUUAGAGGUGAAAUCCCGAGGCUCAACUUCGGAAUUGCCUCUGAUACUGUUCGGCUAGAGAGUAGUUGCGGUAGGCGGAAUGUAUGGUGUAGCGGUGAAAUGCUUAGAGAUCAUACAGAACACCGAUUGCGAAGGCAGCUUACCAAGCUACUUCUGACGUUGAGGCACGAAAGCGUGGGGAGCAAACAGGAUUAGAUACCCCAGUAGUC
rnacentral:rRNA from 1 species